GACGAAGGUGGCGAGCGUUGUUCGGAAUCACUGGGCAUAAAGCGCACGUAGGCGGUGACGUAAGUCGGGUGUGAAAUCCCUCGGCCUAACCGAGGAACUGCGCCCGAUACUGCGUUGCUUGAGGACCAGAGGGGUGCAUGGAAUUUCCGGUGGAGCGGUGAAAUGCGUUGAUAUCGGAAGGAACUCCGGCGGCGAAAGCGAUGCACUGGCUGGUUUCUGACGCUGAGGUGCGAAAGCCAGGGGAGCAAACGGGG
rnacentral:rRNA from 1 species